AGGGCACCACCAGGAGUGGAGCCUGUGGCUUAAUUUGACUCAACACGGGAAAUCUCACCAGGCCCGGACACCAGAAGGAUUGACAGAUUGAUAGCUCUUUCUUGAUUUGGUGGGUGGUGGUGCAUGGCCGUUCUUAGUUGGUGGAGCGAUUUGUCUGGUUAAUUCCGAUAACGAACGAGACUCUAGCCUACUAAAUAGAUCGUCGGCUUACAAACGCCGAUGAGACUUCUUAGAGGGACAGGCGGCGAUUCAGCCGCACGAAACAGAGCAAUAACAGGUCUGUGAUGCCCUUAGAUGUCCGGGGCCGCACGCGCGCUACACUGAAGUGAUCAGCGUGCAUUUUCAGCCUACUCUGCCAAGAGUGGGAAACCCAAUGAACCUUCUUCGUGAUUGGGAUAGGGGAUUGUAAUUAUUCCCCUUGAACGAGGAAUUCCCAGUAAGCGCGAGUCAUAAGCUCGCGUUGAUUACGUCCCUGCCCUUUGUACACACCGCCCGUCGCUACUACCGAUUGAAUGUUUU
rnacentral:rRNA from 1 species